rnacentral:rRNA from 1 species
UGGAAGUUAAAAAGUUGUUAACAAAGUUUCCGUAGGUGAACCUGCGGAAGGAUCAUUA